UGUGUACUCCCUCCGUUCCAAAAUACUUGACUUCCAUUUGUCCAAAAAUGGAUGUACCUAUAUACUAAGACAUAUCUAGAUACAUAUAUAAUUUGACAAAUAGAAGGCAUGUAUUGUGCAACGGAGGGAGUAGAAU
rfam:Triticum aestivum genome assembly, contig: Triticum_aestivum_CS42_TGACv1_scaffold_641251_T_1AS-0.115988_2AL-0.090795